rnacentral:rRNA from 1 species
AACGAACGCUGGCGGCAGGCUUAACACAUGCAAGUCGAGCGCCCCGCAAGGGGAGCGGCAGACGGGUGAGUAACGCAUGGGAACGUACCCUUUGCUACGGAAUAGCUCCGGGAAACUGGAAUUAAUACCGUAUGUGCCCCACGGGGGAAAGAUUUAUCGGCAAAGGAUCGGCCCGCGUUGGAUUAGCUAGUUGGUGGGGUAAUGGCCUACCAAGGCGACGAUCCAUAGCUGGUCUGAGAGGAUGAUCAGCCACAUUGGGACUGAGACACGGCCCAAACUCCUACGGGAGGCAGCAGUGGGGAAUAUCGGACAAUGGGCGCAAGCCUGAUCCAGCCAUGCCGCGUGAGUGAUGAAGGCCUUAGGGUUGUAAAGCUCUUUCACCGGAGAAGAUAAUGACGGUAUCCGGAGAAGAAGCCCCGGCUAACUUCGUGCCAGCCGCCGCCGUAAAAC